rnacentral:rRNA from 1 species
UUUAAACUGAAGAGUUUGAUCAUGGCUCAGAUUGAACGCUGGCGGCAGGCCUAACACAUGCAAGUCGAGCGGAAACGAUGGAAGCUUGCUUCCAGGCGUCGAGCGGCGGACGGGUGAGUAAUGCAUAGGAAUCUGCCCGGUAGUGGGGGAUAACCUGGGGAAACCCAGGCUAAUACCGCAUACGUCCUACGGGAGAAAGCAGGGGAUCUUCGGACCUUGCGCUAUCGGAUGAGCCUAUGUCGGAUUAGCUAGUUGGUGAGGUAAUGGCUCACCAAGGCCGCGAUCCGUAGCUGGUCUGAGAGGAUGAUCAGCCACAUCGGGACUGAGACACGGCCCGAACUCCUACGGGAGGCAGCAGUGGGGAAUAUUGGACAAUGGGCGAAAGCCUGAUCCAGCCAUGCCGCGUGUGUGAAGAAGGCCCUCGGGUUGUAAAGCACUUUCAGUGAGGAAGAACGCUUGCGGGUUAAUACCCCGCAGGAAGGACAUCACUCACAGAAGAAGCACCGGCUAACUCCGUGCCAGCAGCCGCGGUAAUACGGAGGGUGCGAGCGUUAAUCGGAAUUACUGGGCGUAAAGCGCGCGUAGGCGGCUUGAUAAGCCGGUUGUGAAAGCCCCGGGCUCAACCUGGGAACGGCAUCCGGAACUGUCAGGCUAGAGUGCAGGAGAGGAAGGUAGAAUUCCCGGUGUAGCGGUGAAAUGCGUAGAGAUCGGGAGGAAUACCAGUGGCGAAGGCGGCCUUCUGGACUGACACUGACGCUGAGGUGCGAAAGCGUGGGUAGCAAACAGGAUUAGAUACCCUGGUAGUCCACGCCGUAAACGAUGUCGACUAGCCGUUGGGGUCCUCGAGACCUUUGUGGCGCAGUUAACGCGAUAAGUCGACCGCCUGGGGAGUACGGCCGCAAGGUUAAAACUCAAAUGAAUUGACGGGGGCCCGCACAAGCGGUGGAGCAUGUGGUUUAAUUCGAUGCAACGCGAAGAACCUUACCUACCCUUGACAUCGAGCGAACUUUCCAGAGAUGGAUUGGUGCCUUCGGGAACGCUCAGACAGGUGCUGCAUGGCUGUCGUCAGCUCGUGUUGUGAAAUGUUGGGUUAAGUCCCGUAACGAGCGCAACCCUUGUCCCUAUUUGCCAGCGAUUCGGUCGGGAACUCUAGGGAGACUGCCGGUGACAAACCGGAGGAAGGUGGGGACGACGUCAAGUCAUCAUGGCCCUUACGGGUAGGGCUACACACGUGCUACAAUGGCCGGUACAGAGGGUUGCAAUGCCGCGAGGUGGAGCUAAUCCCAAAAAGCCGGUCUCAGUCCGGAUCGGAGUCUGCAACUCGACUCCGUGAAGUCGGAAUCGCUAGUAAUCGUGAAUCAGAAUGUCACGGUGAAUACGUUCCCGGGCCUUGUACACACCGCCCGUCACACCAUGGGAGUGGACUGCACCAGAAGUGGUUAGCCUAACUUCGGAGGGCGAUCACCACGGUGUGGUUCAUGACUGGGGUGAAGUCGUAACAAGGUAGCCGUAGGGGAACCUGCGGCUGGAUCACCUCCUUAAU